rnacentral:misc_RNA from 1 species
GCACCUACCGAUUGAAUGGUUCGGUGAAAAUCUCGGACUGCGGCUUGAAUGCCUUCGGGCAACCAAGCUGUGGAAAGUUGUUUAAACCUCAUCAUUUAGAGGAAGGUGAAGUCGUAACAAGGUUUCUGUAGGUGAACCUGCAGAAGGAUCAAGAUCUUAUGACCGUCGUGUCGGUUCAGAUUGUAGAUCUCUCUCUUCUCCGUUUCAUUUUAUAAAACAUCUCUCUCAUUUCUCUCUUCUCUUCUUCUUUUUUCCUUUUCUUUUCUCCUUUUUCCUU